rnacentral:lncRNA from 13 species
AUACAAAAACUAGACAGUUAUUGAUUAUCCUAUUAUGUUUUGUUAUAUAUGUGAAAGGCCAAAGGUCAGACUGGUUGAGGAAGAGAGAGAAACUAUGAGGGGAGCACAUGCAGGAGCCAUGCAGAGGCCUCUGGAACCAAUAACUAUUUUGUGCUGUGACCAGCCAUACAACAAUCACUGAGAGCUCAAAGAACAGCCUGAAAAAUCGAGCUGCAAGCAAGUUUAGAAAAGCAAGCUGGAAGCAGCUGUACCUGGAAGCCAGGCUUAAUGGUAUUCCAUUGUGCACAUAUACCACAUUUUCUUGAUCUCUGCAUCUGCUGAUGGACUCUUAGGUUGAUUCCAUAUCUUGGUUACUGUGGAUUUAAUUCUACAAUGAAUGCAGGAGUACAGAUGUCUCUUCAAUGUAUGUUCUGGAGAGUAGAAAUCCUGUGAUCAAGGCAUUGGCAGAUUUGAUGUCUGAUGAAGGCCCACUUUCUGGUUCACAGAGGACUGUCUUCUCACUGUGUCCUCACACAGUAGAAGGUGAGGGAGCUCUAUGGGGUUUCUUUUAUAGGGCACUAAUCCCAUUCAUAAGGGCUCUACCUUCACGACCCAAUCACCUCCUGGAGACCACCUCAAAAUACCAUCACUUGGGAUUAGACUUCAAUGUAUAAAUUUUACAGAGACAUAAAAAUUCAGUUUAUUGUACCAAGCAUGGGAAAUAUAGCACUGUAUACUCAUAUCAGUUUUUCAAAUUGGUAAUAACAACAAUAAUAAUAAUGAUAAAAAAACAUUAAAAUAAUGACAAUUAUUUAUAACCUUGCACCCCACCCAUAAAACUACCCUCCUCUUUUCCACUGUUCGCUCUGUAGAGGCCUACACAAGACAAUCAAGUUAUUCUAGUUAUAUCCCAGGAAUAUUGCUUGGCACCUUCUCAACAAACCUUCUCCCAGAGUCAUCAUAGCCAAUCCCUAAUUCUGUAUAUAUCACUCUGUAAAUAUUAUUAGUCUUACAGUUCUCUCCAUGUUCAUCUCUAUCACCUACUGCAAACUACCAUUUGGCUCAAAAUGAAUAUCCAUUCCUUUUAAGGAUAUAUAUCCCUUUCACUUAAUUAUAUUAUUGUUCAAAAUUAUUUAAUUUGCCCUCCCCCCAAUUUUCAUUGGGCAGCACAAUUUUCCAC